UACGUAGGGGGCGAGCGUUGUCCGGAAUUACUGGGCGUAAAGGGUGCGUAGGCGGUUUUUUAAGUUGGAUGUGAAAUACCCGGGCUUAACCCGGGGGGUGCAUUCAAGACUGGGGAACUAGAGUUCAGGAGAGGGAAGCGGAAUUCCUAGUGUAGCGGUGAAAUGCGUAGAUAUUAGGAGGAACACCAGUGGCGAAGGCGGCUUUCUGGACUGACACUGACGCUGAGGCACGAAAGCGUGGGGAGCAAACAGGAUUAGAUACCCUGGUAGUCCACGCGGUAAACGAUGAAUACUAGGUGUAGGGGGUAUCAACUCCCUCUGUGCCGCAGCAAACGCAAUAAGUAUUCCGCCUGGGGAGUACGGCCGCAAGGUUGAA
rnacentral:rRNA from 1 species